rnacentral:rRNA from 1 species
UGGGGAAUAUUGCACAAUGGGCGCAAGCCUGAUGCAGCCAUGCCGUGUGUAUGAAGAAGGCCUUCGGGUUGUAAAGUACUUUCAGCGGGGAGGAAGGGAGUAAAGUUAAUACCUUUGCUCAUUGACGUUACCCGCAGAAGAAGCACCGGCUAACUCCGUGCCAGCAGCCGCGGUAAUACGGAGGGUGCAAGCGUUAAUCGGAAUUACUGGGCGUAAAGCGCACGCAGGCGGUUUGUUAAGUCAGAUGUGAAAUCCUCGGGCUCAACCUGGGAACUGCAUCUGAUACUGGCAAGCUGGAGUCUCGUAGAGGGGGGUAGAAUUCCAGGUGUAGCGGUGAAAUGCGUAGAGAUCUGGAGGAAUACCGGUGGCGAAGGCGGCCCCCUGGACGAAGACUGACGCUCAGGUGCGAAAGAGUGGGGAGCAAACAGG